AUUGCUAAUACUGAAUCGUCGAGUGUUGCAAGAGAAGCUGCAAUACCUAGUGCUCUUUGUGCAAUACAUAAUGAAAUUACCCAUAUUGGUCUAUUUAUAAUGCUCUUUGUGCUCAUGUGGAUGACUUUGUUGCUGGCAUUUUCUGUGUGUCUGUCUGAGCUUGUAUAGAAAACUUAUUUGCUUGUGAAGGUGGUCAUAUUUUUAUUUUUUUAAAUUGAACAAAAUGUUGGAACUGUAGUGUUGAAGAUGCUUUGUGGUGACUAUUCUUUGAAUGGCAGAAUGUACUUUUUCUACAUGAAGUGUGAAAACUUAAGCUUUAUGAACAAUAUGAAUUUUGAAGCCACUGCAUCAGCUGGCACAUGACUGUUGCAUCUUACAAAAACCACUCUGAUGUUUCUCAAAAAACUGCCGUACCUUGAUGUUAUAGUUUUCUCUUGUGGUCUGUUACUUGAAUCGAGGUCCAUUUACAAACUUGAGGGUUCAUAGAGUUAAUGUUUAUUUGUUCGGUACCUUUUGUCGAGUCAAUUUGCUUGCAAAGAGAGUCCAACUUUUAUUUUAAAAUUGAAAAAAAUCUUGGAACUAUUGUGUUGAAGGUACUUUAUGGUGACUAUUCUUUGAAAGACAAAAUUUCUUUAUUCUACGGCACUGUGGAAGUUUAUGGUUUAUGAACAUUGUGAACUUGAAGGCCUCUGCAUCAGCUGGUACCUUAUACCAUUGUUGCUCCAAUAUGAUUCGAUGGCGGAGGAAUCAGAUAAGACAGAUGCACAUGAUGUUGGAACUAGCGUUCAAAUAGCAAAAAACAUACAUGCUGUAAAAGCAUCUCAUGCCUUGUCAAGGCUUAGUGGUUUGGUUGACGAGGAGAUCCCGACACCCUACAAUCAGGCUGCAGUUGAUGCCCUUAGAGCUUUACUAACC